GGCGGGCGUGAUGGCGUCCGCCCGGCGUGGCCGCCGUUGCGCUUUGUGCCUUUCCGGCCUGGUCGUGUUGUGUGUGGGCGUUAAAGGCGCCCGAAGCGAUUUGGCAGUGAGUGUCGAUGUGCUGUUCUGGACCCUCCUGUGCGGGUGAUGUCACCAUGACGUGAUGACCUCACAGAUGCCCUGGGGUGGGGCAGGGGCAGUGGGUCAGCGCGGAACCUGCUGGCCCCAUUCUGCGGGUGGUGCUGGUCCAGCGAGGAGCUGUGCGAGUGGUGCAGUAAUGCGGGCCCAGUGUGUCAGCAGAAGAUUAAGGGCGGUGUGGCGUGCGAAGCUGGUGGAGGAGGAGCUGCUGGCUCAUGCGGCCGUGGAGAAGUGCAAGGCCGUGGCCAGGGAAUCCUUGAUGAAGGAUGCCCAGAAAUUACGGGCAGAAAGAACAGCUGCCAGGAAAGAGAAGCUGAAGCAGGAGAAGCAUCUCGUUGCCCAGCUGGAAGAGCAGCUGCAGGCUGAGACAGAGGAGAUGGAGGUGCUGCGCCAGGAAAAACAGCACCUGCAAGAGGAGCGGGAGGAGCUGGAGCUGGAGGGUGCCUGGCAGCAGCAUCAGCUGGAGCUGGAGGCAGCCCACGUGCCUGGGGCUGUGCUGCCGAAGCUGGUGGAGGCAGAGCUGGAGAAGAAGGAGCAGGCGAGGAGACGAGGGCUCGCCUUCUGGAUGAAGACAAUCUGCCUCAUCUUCGUCAGCCUCCUGCUGCUGCUCGUUGCUGUGCUGGGCUCUGCAGUGCUGUACGCCCAGCACUAUGACCAGGAGCUGUUGUAUCGGCUCCUGCUGCGAGUGCUGCCCCAGGCAAUGUACGCUUCCCCGGCGUACUUUGCGAGCAGGAGCCUGCGUGUCGUCUGUGAUGGGCUGCUGCCCAUCUGACCGCCCCUCUCAGUCCCCCCUCCCAGCUCGGGGCUGCGCAGUGGUGGGGUGCAGGGAGAGAGCUCUGUCCCCACGGAAGGGGCCUCUCCUGUGCUCCUGCCCCCAGGGGCGCACAGGCACAGCUGUGGGGCAGUGCCGGCAGGCGGCUGAGUGCUGGGACUUUGGACUUACAAAUAAGUUGGUACUGUCGUCGUCAACUGAACACCACCACCUCCGACGACCCAUCAGACUGAAGAUGUGCACCUGACGCCAGGACGUGGCUUCUUGGAUUCUUUGAGUCUUCGUAGCAGCCAUUUCCUUCAGCUGGUUACCUGUAAGGCUUAUGAAUUGUAAUUAGCCCAUUAGGCAAUGUUACCUCCAGUGGGCUGUUGUCAGUUGUUAAGAAUGCUGUCAAUAAAUGGAUGUGUAU
rnacentral:lncRNA from 1 species